rnacentral:misc_RNA from 1 species
CCCUUGUGGAGGAGGACGCCGAAGGUGGGGCUAAUGACUGGGGUGAAGUCGUAACAAGGUAGCCGUACCGGAAGGUGCGGCUGGAUCACCUCCUAACAGGGAGACAACAAAAUGUUUAAUAUUAUUAUUUUGUCACCUUAGGUCGAUCGGUAUCUCACAUCCUUAAUUUAUUAGGGAUUUCAUUUUCCUAAGUUUUUCUAGGUCACACCCAUUAUUUUUCCUGGGCCAUUAGCUCAGGUGGUUAGAGCGCACCCCUGAUAAGGGUGAGGUCCCUGGUUCAAGUCCAGGAUGGCCCAUAUCUCUAUGUUGGGGGUAUAGCUCAGUUGGUAGAGCGCCUGCUUUGCAAGCAGGAUGUCAGCGGUUCGAGUCCGCUUACCUCCACUGAUUACCACCUCUUCCAUAUUUUGAAGAAAGGAAAUUAUUGAGUAGUGAUCAAUUCUGAACGAAUCUAGCUUCCUAAUGAAACAAUUAAGAUGCUGGACUCAUUGAAUCUAAUUCAUUGUUUUCAGAGAACCUUGACAACUGCAUAGAUUAUUUUUUUAAAGACAAUAAGCAUCUUUAUUGAUGCAGAUUUAUUAUUUGUGCGAAUGCAUUAAUAACAAUUCUAUUAAGCUGAUGCUUCAAUUUUUGAAGUUAUUGGUCAAGCUACAAAGGGCUCACGGAGGAUACCUAGGCACACAGA